AUUGAACGCUGGCGGCAGGCCUAACACAUGCAAGUCGAGCGGAUGAAGAGAGCUUGCUCUCUGAUUUAGCGGCGGACGGGUGAGUAAUGCCUAGGAAUCUGCCUGGUAGUGGGGGAUAACGUCCGGAAACGGGCGCUAAUACCGCAUACGUCCUACGGGAGAAAGCAGGGGACCUUCGGGCCUUGCGCUAUCAGAUGAGCCUAGGUCGGAUUGGCUAGUUGGUGAGGUAAUGGCUCACCAAGGCUACGAUCCGUAACUGGUCUGAGAGGAUGAUCAGUCACACUGGAACUGAGACACGGUCCAGACUCCUACGGGAGGCAGCAGUGGGGAAUAUUGGACAAUGGGCGAAAGCCUGAUCCAGCCAUGCCGCGUGUGUGAAGAAGGUCUUCGGAUUGUAAAGCACUUUAAGUUGGGAGGAAGGGCAGUAAGUUAAUACCUUGCUGUUUUGACGUUACCGACAGAAUAAGCACCGGCUAACUUCGUGCCAGCCGCCGCUGUAAAAC
rnacentral:rRNA from 1 species